UACGGGGGGGGCAAGCGUUGUUCGGAAUUACUGGGCGUAAAGGGCGCGUAGGCGGCCUGUUAAGUCGAACGUGAAAUCCCCGGGCUCAACCCGGGAACUGCGUCCGAUACUGGUAGGCUUGAAUCCGGGAGAGGGAUGCGGAAUUCCAGGUGUAGCGGUGAAAUGCGUAGAUAUCUGGAGGAACACCGGUGGCGAAGGCGGCAUCCUGGACCGGCAUUGACGCUGAGACGCGAAAGCCAGGGGAGCAAACGGG
rnacentral:rRNA from 1 species